rnacentral:lncRNA from 1 species
CCUGCUAGUCCUGGUUUCUCCUGCUAGACCAGAUUUCCCCUGAGUGAUGCCUCUCGGCAGUUCAAACUGUACUCUGGGCCUGCUGUUUGUUGGGCGUGGAGGGUGUCUAUUGGGAACCCCAGCACUCUAUUGUUUUGAUUUUUUCUGCUUGCCCCUCCCCCAGCGCUGGCUAGACAGGUUUCGUUUUCGCUGCUAAUGGGAGGGGGAGUUGAAGGUCAGGUGUCUCUAGUUUUCCCCGCGUCUUUAUGCAGGCUUGCUCUGAUAAUCCCACCCCCGGAAAGCCUAGGAAAGAUUUUAUUCGAAUUCCCCACUGUAUGGGAGCUGAGCUGAGUAACACACACCUGUUUUAUUGUUGCAAUCUGUCGGAGAGUGGCGGUGGUUACUUCAGCUCUCCAAGAUGGUGGCCGCUGGUUUCCUUGGUGGAAUUUCCGUUGUGGGGGAUAGAACUGUACCACUUCCUUCCCCGUCUGAAAUCCUGAACUCAGCCCGGGGCUCAGUGGGGGCUCAGCCGGCAGGAUUCCACAGAAUCCGCAGCAACUUUUCUCCCUGCUUGCUAGUUGCUUCUCAGUG